AGGAGCCGAAUGAAAUCAAAGUUUCAUGUUCGGUUUUGAAUUAGAGACGUUAAAAAUAUAAAACUGGUUGUGGAUUUUUGGGUGCUUGAUUGGACCCUUUUAGUUUCUUCAUUUUAAAAAUUUGCUUCAAACUUUGAU
rfam:Brassica napus, WGS project CCCW01000000 data, contig: 10956